rnacentral:rRNA from 1 species
CCUACGGGAGGCAGCAGUGAGGAAUAUUGGUCAAUGGACGAGAGUCUGAACCAGCCAAGUAGCGUGAAGGAUGACUGCCCUAUGGGUUGUAAACUUCUUUUAUAUGGGAAUAAAAUGUUCCACGUGUGGGAUUUUGUAUGUACCAUAUGAAUAAGGAUCGGCUAACUCCGUGCCAGCAGCCGCGGUAAUACGGAGGAUCCGAGCGUUAUCCGGAUUUAUUGGGGUUGAAGGGAGCGUAGGUGGAUUGUUAAGUCAGUUGUGAAAGUUUGCGGCUCAACCGUAAAAUUGCAGUUGAAACUGGCAGUCUUGAGUACAGUAGAGGUGAGCGGAAUUCGUUGUGUAGCGGUGAAAUGCUUAGAUAUCACGAAGAACUCCGAUUGCGAAGGCAGUUCACUGGACUGCAACUGACACUGAGGCUCGAAAGUGUGGGUAUCAAACAGGAUUAGAUACCCCGGUAGUC